rnacentral:rRNA from 1 species
CGGUAGCAGGAAGUGCUUGCACUUUGCUGACGAGUGGCGGACGGGUGAGUAAUACUUAGGAACAUGCCUUUGUGUGGGGGAUAACCAUUGGAAACGAUGGCUAAUACCGCAUAACGUCUUCGGACCAAAGGGGGCUUCGGCUCCCGCGCAAAGAGUGGCCUAAGUGAGAUUAGCUUGUUGGUGAGGUAAAGGCUCACCAAGGCGACGAUCUCUAGCUGUUCUGAGAGGAAGAUCAGCCACACUGGAACUGAGACACGGUCCAGACUCCUACGGGAGGCAGCAGUGGGGAAUAUUGCACAAUGGGGGAAACCCUGAUGCAGCCAUGCCGCGUGUGUGAAGAAGGCCUUCGGGUUGUAAAGCACUUUCAGUUGUGAGGAAAGGUUAACGGUUAAUACCCGUUAGCUGUGACGUUAGCAACAGAAGAAGGACCGGCUAACUCCGUGCCAGCAGCCGCGGUAAUACGGAGGGUCCGAGCGUUAAUCGGAAUUACUGGGCGUAAAGCGCACGCAGGCGGUUUGUUAAGCUAGAUGUGAAAGCCCUGGGCUCAACCUGGGAAUUGCAUUUAGAACUGGCAGGCUAGAGUUUUGGAGAGGGGAGUGGAAUUCCAGGUGUAGCG